UCACAGGAAGAAGAUGAUGUGCAGGAUCCUGCUGCUCCUCAUACUGACCUUCUGUGUCUGUGGUUAGUGUGAGAGAGAGAGAGAGAGACAGAGAGAGAGAGAGAGAGAGAGAGAGAGAGAUAGAGAGACGUUAGGGGGCGGAGCGUCGAAACCGAAAGUAAACUGUGGGGAUUUCCCGGUUAUUUGCUACAUGCCAAAAAAUGACCUCCGUGAAUUUUGGUCAACAAGAGCAACAAGGAGACUGAAGUGUUGGAGGCGGGUUGACGAAGAAUUAAGUAGUUGGAAUUUGUAGUCUGACGGUUCUAUCAGGCAGAGGAGAACCAGAACGUCACGCUGGAGUGGACCUUCACACCCCAAGAUGACCCCUCACUUCACUCUCUUUAUAUCUACUGUUUGAUGGUCACUGAUCACAAAGUCUGUGUCCUGUUUGAACUGAUCCGAGGAGUCGAGGUCUCAGAGUCUCAGGAUGAACAGUUUGCAGGACGAGUCCACUGUGACAAAGACGUCCUCAAAGAAGGACGACUCAGACUUCACAUGUCCUAAUUGAGGACUGAAGACUCAGGCCUAUGCAAGUGUGAAGUGAUGACAAACGAUGGUAUGGUCGCUGGUAGAAGCCGUCUUAAUGUGACCGCAGCUGCUCAUGAGCACCAAACUCAGAGACCAACAGUGAGACCAGGAGCAGAGAGUCUAGGAAGACCUGGACUGGGACUGUUACUGUUCCUGGCAGCAUCAGCUGGACUGGCUCUCUGUGUCUCUAAAAAAAUGUGUCUUUAAAUCUGCUGAUGAGAGAGAAAACAUCUCUGCAGUCAUGUAUGUUGAAGAAAUUACUAAGACUUGACUCCAUACAAUAAAACUCAGUUGACUCAGA